rnacentral:misc_RNA from 1 species
GAUGAAGAACGUAGCGAAUUGCGAUAUGUAAUGUGAAUUGCAGAAUUCAGUGAAUCAUCGAAUCUUUGAACGCACAUUGCGCCCGCCAGUAUUCUGGCGGGCAUGCCUGUUCGAGCGUCAUUUCAACCAUCAAGCCCCAGGCUUGUGUUGGGGACCUGCGGCUGCCGCAGGCCCUGAAAACCAGUGGCGGGCUCGCUGUCACACCGGGCGUAGUAGAUUUUAUCUCGCUCAGGGCGUGCUGCGGGUUCCGGCCGUUAAAAAGCCUUUUUUACCCAAGGUUGACCUCGGAUCAGGUAGGAAGACCCGCUGAACUUAAGCAUAUCAAUAAGCGGAGGA